rnacentral:rRNA from 1 species
CCUACGGGUGGCUGCAGUGGGGAAUAUUGGACAAUGGGGGUAACCCUGAUCCAGCCAUGCCGCGUGUGUGAAGAAGGCCCUCGGGUUGUAAAGCACUUUCAGUGAGGAAGAACGCCUGGUGGUUAAUACCCAUCAGGAAAGACAUCACUCACAGAAGAAGCACCGGCUAACUCCGUGCCAGCAGCCGCGGUAAUACGGAGGGUGCGAGCGUUAAUCGGAAUUACUGGGCGUAAAGCGCGCGUAGGUGGCUUGAUAAGCCGGUUGUGAAAGCCCCGGGCUCAACCUGGGAACGGCAUCCGGAACUGUCAAGCUAGAGUGCAGGAGAGGAAGGUAGAAUUCCCGGUGUAGCGGUGAAAUGCGUAGAGAUCGGGAGGAAUACCAGUGGCGAAGGCGGCCUUCUGGACUGACACUGACACUGAGGUGCGAAAGCGUGGGUAGCAAACAGGAUUAGAUACCCUAGUAGUC